GGAAGGAUCAUUAACACUAAUCCAAUCUAACUCAACCUAGCCUUUAGUUGCAGCAGCAGCGCUUGCUUUUGCAUUUGCCGCUGGUGCAGCACACACAAAUCUAAUUUAAAGGAGUCUAACUAAGACCAACCAAAAUCCAAAUUCUCAACGAUGGAUAUCUUGGUUCCCAUAACGAUGAAGAACGCAGCGAAGUGCGAUAAGCAAUGCGAAUUGCAGAACCGUGAGUCAUCAGAUUUUUGAACGCAACUGGCGCCGAUUGGCUCUCCAGUCGGCAUGCUUGUUUCAGUGUCUCUUUUUCUCAUCCCCCAAAUCAUAAUGCGAGAGAUACCCUUCUCUUGUUAAGUAUGAAAGCACUCUACGCUCUGCGAGCGGCAUCGACUUGUCGAGGGCCGCACUCAAUGCAGCAGUCACAUUGUUUACAGUGUGAACUCAUUGAGAGCUGAGGUAGCGCAGCGUAAGCUGUAAGUGCUUAGUCACACAAACUUAUCUGUAUCUGAAAUCAAGCAGGAUCACCCGCUGAACUUAAGCAUAUCAAUAAGCGGAGGAGAAGAAAUUAACUAAGAUUGCCUCAGUAACGGCGAGUGAAGCGGCAAAAGCUCAAACUGGAAAUCUUGUACACUACGUGUGCACGAAUUGUAAUCUAAAGGGUUUUUACUCACCGGGCGGAGACGCAGAAGUGCCAUCGAAAGGGCCACCAGAGAGGGUGAUAGUCCCGUAUGUGGUGUCUCUGCCUAACGAGUAUUGAUCCAAAGAGUCGGGUUGUCUUGUACUACAGCCCUAAGUUGGAGAUAGACUUCUUCUAAGGCUAAAUAUAUAUGGGAAACCGAUAGCGAACAAGUACUGUGAAGGAAAGAUGAAAAGAACUUUGAAAAGAGAGUCAAAAGACUUGAAAUCGUUGAGAAGGAAGCGGUAGAAAUUUAUUCUUCGGCGGAGGUCGGUGUUACUUGCCAAGCCAUUGCCGAAGUACAGUACUGAAUAAGGCUGUGCCCGGCACCUGGGGAAGUGAGUGGCUUGACCUUCGUCGUGAGGCAAAAUGAGGUCGAGUUGCCGCAGAGGCUUGCUUCAACCGGGGAGUUUACUCUCAGUGGGGCUUUGCCGGCGGUGAUUCGGCCUGAGGAUGCUUUGUGCGAUUUUGCCAAAAUGGUUUUUACCGACCCGUCUUGAAACACGGACCAAGGAGUCUAACAUAUAUGCGAGUGUGCUGGUGCAAAAACCAACACGCGUAAUGAAGGUGAUUGAUGCCAAAUCGCAAGAUGGCAGCAUCGACCGACCAUGAUCCUCCGGUGAAAGGUUUGAGUAAGAGCAUAUCUGUUAGGACCCGAAAGAUGGUGAACUAUGCCUGAGUAGGGUGAAGCCAGGGGAAACUCUGGUGGAGGCUCGUAGCGGUACUGACGUGCAAAUCGUUCGUCAAACUUGGGUAUAGGGGCGAAAGACUAAUCGAACCAUCUAGUAGCUGGUUCCCUC
rnacentral:misc_RNA from 1 species